ACAUUUUAACGUUUUCUUGGAAAAACUUCCUGUGAUGCAAACUGACAUAAAUAUUUUUUGGUACGAAAUGUUUUCAAAUGCUUACACAUAUUCUUCUAAUUACUUACUGUUUGUUCUGUCGAUAUUGAUUGCGUCUAUUAUGUGCCUAUGGAUUUAUGAAAAGCCACGGUUUUAUAAGUUAAUUUUUAAGAAAAGCAAACAGUCUCACAUUUUAAGUGCCGUGCAAAGCGCAGAAGUCCUCGAGGAUAAUUACUUUGCUGAUCGGGAAGCUUCAAACCAGCUUAUACAAAAAGUCACGGAUAUAGAAAAAGAAGAUGACUAGUGAGAUGAGUGAUUUUAUCACAACGUUGUUUGUGUGAAAAACAUUGUUAUUAAAUACAAUAAAACAAU